rfam:Oryza nivara chromosome 9, whole genome shotgun sequence.
AGAGAGAUAAACCCUAGAUUUCCGUGUCUAACUUUAACUGUCCGUCUUAUAUAAAUUUUUUUUAUAAUUUGUAUUUUCAUUAUUGUUAGAUGAUAAAAUAUGAUUUAUAUUUUAUGCGUGAUUUGUCUUUUUAAUUUUUUUCAUAAUUUUUUAAAUAAGACGAACGGUCAAACAUUGCGCACGGAAAUCAGGGUUUGUCUUUUU